UGAAUACGAGAUGCUACGGCGUCGAAGCAGUCUAUGUCAUACUUCCAAGAAAAGCUUGCACUGUCAUAAACAAAUAAUGCCUGUACCAUAACCGACACAGGUGGGUAGGUAGAGUAUACUAAGGGGCGCGAGAUAACUCUCUCUAAGGAACUCGGCAAAAUGACUCCGUAGCUUCGGGAGAAGGAGUGCCUUAUUUAUAAGGUUGCAAUAACAAGAUCCAAGCAACUGUUUACCAAAAACACAGGUCUCCGCUAAGUCGUAAGACGAUGUAUGGGGGCUGACGCCUGCCCAGUGCCAGAAGGUUAAAGAAGUUGGUUAGCAUCCGCGAAGCUGAUAACUGAAGCCCUGGUGAACGGCGGCCGUAACCAUAACGGUCCUAAGGUAGCGAAAUUCCUUGUCGGGUAAGUUCCGACCCGCACGAAAGGCGUAAUGAUUUGGAUACUGUCUCGGAGAGGGGCUCGGUGAAAUAGACUUGUCUGUGAAGAUGCGGACUACCUGCACCAGGACAGAAAGACCCUAUGAAGCUUUACUGUAACCUGAAAUUGAAAUUGGACUUUACUUGCGCAGUAUAGGUGGGAGGCGUUGAGAAUAUUCUUGCGGGAUUAUUGGAGCCAUCAGUGAGAUACCACUCUUGUAAUGUUAGAUUUCUAACUUUGUAUCAUUAUCUGGUCAAAGAACAGUUUCAGGCGGGCAGUUUGACUGGGGCGGUCGCCUCCUAAACGGUAACGGAGGCGCACAAAGGUUUCCUCUGAACGGGUAGAAAUCGUAUCUAGAGUGUAAAGGCAUAAGGAAGCUUGACUGUGAGACCUACAAGUCGAGCAGGGACGAAAGUCGGUCUUAGUGAUCUGACGGUGCUGAGUGGAAAGGCCGUCACUCAACGGAUAAAAGUUACUCUAGGAUAACAGGCUGAUCUCCCCCAAGAGUUCACAUCGACGGGGAGGUUUGGCACCUCGAUGUCGGCUCAUCGCAUCCUGGGGCGGUAGUACGUCCCAAGGGUUGGGCUGUUCGCCCAUGAAAGCGGUACGCGAGCUGGGUUCAGAACGUCGUGAGACAGUUCGGUCCAUAUCCGGUGUAGGCGUUAGAAUAUUGAGAGGAGCCUUCUUUAGUACGAGAGGACCGAGAAGGACAUACCUCUGGUGUACCAGUUAUCGUGCCAACGGUAAACGCUGGGUAGCUAUGUGUGGAGUGGAUAACCGCUGAAAGCAUCUAAGUGGGAAGCCCACCUCAAGAUAAGUA
rnacentral:rRNA from 1 species